GUACUCGCUUCAGCAGCACAUGUACUACAACUGGAAUGAUACAGAGAAGAUUAGCAUGGCCCCUGCACAAAGAUGCCAUGCAAAUUCAUGAAGCGUUCCAUAAUACA
ensembl:snRNA U6 U6 spliceosomal RNA